CAGUGGCUCUGCGGGGACAGAGAGGGACACUAGGACAUGGUGGCCUGCUGACCCCACAGAUUUUUGUAUUGCAGAUCCUUCCAGCAUUUCCCAUGUCACAACAUGGUGCCUCUCAGCACAUCAGGUAGACACGCAAGAGCAGGAGCCCGAAGACCCUUCAGGGAGCCAGCACAGGUGGGGAAAUGGAGGAAGAAGAAGGGCCUUACCUCUGUGGACUAGUAGGAAGAGCCAAGGUUAUCACUCAAAGACUUGUGGUUUUGGAAUGUUUUCCACCACAUCAUCUACCUUCAGGUGGUCUUUAUGGAGUUCAUCUGCAGCUCUCUUGAGAUUUCCACAGAUUUACGAGGCUGAGAAAGUCUGCAAAGGAAAAGGAUCAGCUGCAGGAUUCUGAUUUCACCUUAAUUAAAAAGAGGGU